GCUGGGCGUGGUGGCUCACGCCUGUAAUCCCAGCACUUUGGGAGGCUGAGGUGGGUGGAUCACCUGAGGUCAGGAGUUCGAGACCAGCCUGGCCAACAUGGUGAAACCCUGUCUCUA
ensembl:misc_RNA Metazoa_SRP Metazoan signal recognition particle RNA